UACGAGAGGCCCAAACGUUAUUCGGAUUUACUGGGCUUAAAGAGUUCGUAGGCGGCGCGGAAAGUAGGGUGUGAAAGCCCUCGGCUCAACCGAGGAAUUGCGCUCUAAACUACCGUGCUUGAGGAAGCUAGAGGUGAGCGGAACUGAUGGUGGAGCGGUGAAAUGCGUUGAUAUCAUCAGGAACACCGGAGGCGAAGGCGGGUCUCUGGGCCGAUACUGACGCUGAGGAGCGAAGGCGUGGGGAGCGAACAGG
rnacentral:rRNA from 1 species